CUCCUUUGACGUUAGCGGCGGACGGGUGAGUAACACGUGGGUAACCUACCUAUAAGACUGGGAUAACUUCGGGAAACCGGAGCUAAUACCGGAUAAUAUUUCGAACCGCAUGGUUCGAUAGUGAAAGGUGGUUUUGCUAUCACUUAUAGAUGGACCCGCGCCGUAUUAGCUAGUUGGUAAGGUAACGGCUUACCAAGGCGACGAUACGUAGCCGACCUGAGAGGGUGAUCGGCCACACUGAACUGAGACACGGUCCAGACUCCUACGGGAGGCAGCAGAG
rnacentral:rRNA from 1 species